UUGCAGUAUCAAAGUGGAGUUUAUGCUGGGCAACCAAAUCAAAAUGUCGGAUCGAUGCUGCAGCAGCACCAACCGAAUAGUUUUCCCAACAGGGUUCCACCAACAAAUGCACAUUUGGACUUUCGGGAUAGACGAACAUCAUGGAAUACCGAAUCACACCAAGAGCCAUUUUUUCACAGAAGUUUAAAAAAUCAACGCCGAAGGAAAUCCCAUCUUGAUGAUAUUUAUGGUCCAAACUUUGAAGAAUACCAGAAAAAAGAAUACCACAGAAGAAGGUAUUCUAAAUGGGACCAAUCGGACCACAGAAGUUCAGUUCUGCGAUCAAUCAAACAAAGCUCUUCGCAGAAAUCUGAAAGUGAUAGUAGGGAUUGUCACUCUAAGAAUGAUAAUAAAAAGCAAUUCACUGAUGAAAUUGACAAUAAUAAAAAGGUGGGCUGUGAUAAUGACAAUAGUCGGGUAUCGGGCUUUUCAGAAAAAUCCACUUUACCAAAUGCAAACGUUCCAAAUGAGACAAUACCCAAAAAAGUAUGUGAGGAUCUAAAAAGCACUACAAAAUGUGUUAACUUCGAAGAUAACACGGACCAAGUCAAACAGUUUCGUGAAAGUACGAAUAAAAUGAUUAACAUCAUCAGUGAUGAGAAAAUUACAAAUUCUACAGAAACAGUCAACAUAGUUGACCGAAAAAAAUCAAUUGAGGUCGAUGAUGAAAACAUGUCUGAAGAAAAAUCUGCCUUAACAAAUACUUCUAACUUCCAUCUACGAGAUAAUUCAUUGGAAAAAACUUUUUCCUCUGAUAGAAAAAUUGAAUCUGAUGAGGAAACUGUAUAUCACAGUGAUUUGAUAGACAUUGACAAAAUUGAUAAAACCAAAUCAUUUUUACCGACACUGAAAAAUAUUGAUGAAGAUGGCUCAUGUCGUGAUAAAAGAAGGAACAUUGACAACUCAAAUAAUAUGGUUCAAAUGCCAUCAAAUAAUUUUCCGGAUAUAAAUUCUGAUCGAUUGUUAAGUGAAUUGACCGAAGCAAUACAAGAUAACACCGAUAAAAAAACGGUAGAGGAUGUUACGAAUGAUCGAGCUUUAUCUACCGAGAACGAGCUCGUUAUUCAUUCCGGUAUACAUAAUGAAAAUAAUAAGCCCUCAAAAACAACAAUAAAUGGAAAUAAAUCCUCUACAGAAAGCUCUUCGCCAGUUGACCGCUUAAAACAAUCGAAAAACUGCAGUGAACAUACCAAAACAAAAUUCAAAAAACAAUGUUCUGAACAGAAGAAAAUUAUCGAAAAGAAAAAGUCUUCUAACGGGAAAAUGUCGUCAUUAUAUUAUCCCGCGUUGGCUAAUUAUACCAUCCCUAAACUGACAGAAAAGCCAAAUAAGUUCUCAGGGAUCGACGAACCAUACAUGAAAAAAAUGGAAUCUCUAUUUGGAAUUGAUGAGGAUGAUGAAAACAACCAAAGGAAGGUGAAGCCAGUGAAAAUUAAUAUUGAUUCUGAAAACAAGUCUAAAAAAAGGCUCAGUGCUAUAAACGAACAUUCAGAUUCAAAAAAGAGACGUACAGAUGGUGGUGCUACAAAAUUUCUUAAGGAGCCUAUGGGGGAUAAAAUUCGAAUAAGCAAAACAGCAACCGAAGAAGAAAAUAGAAAAAAUAAACAUACUUCCAAUAUCUCGAAGACCUUGAAAUCGACUAAUGGUUCAAAAUAUAACGUUCACAAAUUGAGCCGACAUAAAACUAAUCACAGACAUGAAUCAGUACAACCGUCUACCAAAGUGUAUAAGAAAGUUAUCGAAUCAGAAACUCAAGAUAUGAAACCAUCGGCUGCAAGUAAUUCAGAAGUAGUUAACAAAGACAAUACAGCAAACUUUAAAAACCGUGACAGAAAACAUAUGAAGAUAAUUGAUAAUAAAAGACGUAAUUCAGAAACUGUUACUUCAAAUAAAAAAUUGAUUACAGAGAGGCGACAUUCUUUGCAACUGUUCAAUUCUGAUGGAGUCAAACGAAAUAAUAAUGGAGCGAAAGAAAACAGUGAGUUACAAGUAAUAUUACAACAGAAAAAUAUUUCGAAUGAGAUUUCUAUGAAUAAAUCAGUUACCGAAAAACACAACUCAUACCGAAAAGGUGUUAUAGAAAAUGAUACCAAGUUAAACAUUCGUGAGGAAAAAAAGAUGCAAAUUGAAAAUUGUAAAGAUUUUGAUGAAAUAUCGAGUGCAUUAUCAAAGAUCUUCGAAUGCGAAACACCUAUUACAGAAAAGUAUUCAGAAUCAACAAAAACUUCAGAUGAAGUAACUAUAACUGAAAUGGAUAUUGUUUCUGAGUCUGUUUCAAAUUCAAACAGAAUAUCUGAGUCUGAAAUAAAAACUUCUGUUGGACCAAUAACUUCAAACAAAAUAUCAGGCUUUGAAAUCAAUCCUCAUGAAAACUCGUCUGCGUUGCCUUCGUUAGAGUCGCUGACAGAAUUCAAUUCAGAAACGGAAACGACUAUAUCUGAUUUUCCACAGGAAUCUUCUGAAAAGGAAACAUCUCUCCAAGUUGACAUCUCUGAUGAAGUAGCAACCAAAUCUUCAGGUGUAGAGGAAAACACUUCCAAUUGUUUGGAGUCUGAUAGCUGCAAAAAAUCUCUUUUCCAGUUACCCCAAGAUAUCACAUUUGAAAAAUCAAAUUCAGAUACGCCUAUGAUAAAAGUAACUGAAAAAGAUCAACUUGAAGUGAAUGGAAUAAAAAAUGAACUGAACUCGUUAGUUGAAGAUGAUAAAAGUGAAUCGAAAGCGCAGAAAAGUUUAUUCUUAGUAAAUACUGCCAUUAAAUGUGAAUUGUCGCUUCCUAGCGAAAACUGCAGUCCUCUUGAUGGUAUAUUCAUUCCUGAAUGUCACCGAAUUCACAGUUUUUUAGUUCUCAAUGAUUGCAGCGAAAUUGCAUCUAUUAUGGAUAGUCCCGAAGUUGAAAAAGACAUUAUAGUUAUUAAAAAUUGUUCAAUAAAUUCUGAAGUGAUGGAAAGUGAAGUGACAGAAAAAAGCACUGAUAACGAUUCUUUCGAUGAUGUCAUUGAAAUUAAGCCAAAUAUACCAGUUAUUGAUUUAACUAAAGAUUCUCCUGAUGCCAAUAUAACACAAAUAGACUCAAAAGAAGAUUUAUUGGAAUUAUUACACCAGGUUGACACAAGUGGUGAAAAAAUUACAAUCUAUCGAAGUGAUGAGACUUCGAACGAUUUGGCAGAAGUUCAAACAGUGUCUGUCUCAAUAUCACCAGCAGUACUAGGAGUGAAUGUGCAGAAAGAAAUCAAAACUGAUGAUGAAUCUGCUGAACCCAUUUCAAUUGUUGGAACAAAUGGAUCAAAUGAACAAACUGUUUCUCCAAUGGAAUACGAUGAAAUCACAACUUCAAUUGAUCCGAUAUCCGAAAAUAUAGAAACUACAUCAACAUUAUCCACACAAGUGGAAAAUGGUGGAAUAGCCGAGAGGCUCCUUAUGGAAAAAGAACAACCUGCCACAGAUAAUCUCCAUAUAGCUUCACCAACCCCUGUUGAAUCCAAUGAAGUAGAGUUUCUACAUCCAAAAACUUUGGACCAAAAUUCAGUCAGAAAAGUAACACCGAGAACAAAGAGCCAACUGAAUAAUACUUCAUUGGACGAAACGCCUCUUCACUCAACACCACAAACAAUAGGACAAAACUCAGAUCACUGCGAUAAUAUUGCAAAACUUACAAGAUUCGUUUUUCCACAUUACCUACAAAGAAUUCCACAGGGAAAUAGAUUGAAUCGAGCCCAAGUGAUGCAGCCUUCUGUGCCUUGUGGGGAAACUGUUUUAUUAUCCCAAACUAGUGAGGAAGGAACAAACGUACCAGAAGUGGUCAUUGGAAACAUAUCUUCAAAUAGUAAUGUGUCGCAGGUUCCAUGUCGCGCAGAAAUGAAUAGAAAUUUUCUUUUUUCCAAUCUGACUCAACAAGAAUAUUCAAUGGCAACUGUUCUCAUACCAUACAUUCACCUCAUGGUAUGCGUCAGAAAGGAUCUGACAGUUCACACGAAUAUUUUAAAGAAUAAUCUACAUUUUCUACCAGCAUUAGUGAAACAAGAGAUUAAACUGAGCGAAUAUGCCUACUCAUCUAAGUUGGAAGUUUAUUCAGAACAAAUUACGAAUGAAUUGAAGACACUGAAUUUAAUGGGCUCCAUGAAUAUCGUUACUGCUCAUGCCAUGAUAGAAUUGAUUUUUCGAAAUGUCUCAAAUGUUAAUAAGAAUUUCACUAAAACCAGUAUAAUUCUCUUUCUAGAACAUUUGAUGGAGCCACGUAACUCGUUUUACAAACGCUUUCGUUACCUACAGGCAUUUUAUGAUUACAUUAAAUUUCUUAGCAACGAAAUUCAACGACGUGGCCAACAAAUAGGAUUGACUUUAGGACAAAGAAAGAUUCUAGAGAACCAGAUUCGACAAUAUCAGCUUAUACUCGAAACCGAAAGAAAUCGACUCCGUAGUGCAGUGAAUCAGAAAACUACCCUCUACAAUUCUCGAAUAAUUCAAACAUAUUCAUCAAAUAAUCGAGAAGCUGAAAAGAUUAGUUUAUCGAAACCAGCCGGCUCUGGUUCCGUUGAUGCCACAGAGUUACCAGCCAGUCUUAGAUCACCUGCUCACAGACCUGCAGGUUUCACAGAUUCCUUGAGACAGAUUUUCGGUCAACCAAACCAUAACCAAAUGAAUUGUGCUAUACCCAAUUCUCCAGCAAUAGUCCAGUCUCCCGCUUACAGAUUUGAAAAAACACCUCAAAAUCAGUCUUCAGUGAUGCCAAAUCAAAGUAAAAUAAACGAUACUACACAUAUGCAACCAAUAGCGACUUCCAGAUUACCAGCUCACAGACCUGAAGAGAUGCAGUCACCUACAAUUCCCUACACUACUUCUAACAUAAGUAACGCUAGUGCGUUGACUCCCAGCCGUUUCACAGCACCUUUGAGAUACCAAGGUCGCUCACGAGGAGAGAUGCAAAAGCAACCACCGACAUAUUCUAGUAAUGCCAAUUUCAGCAAUAGUAAUACUCCCAUCACAUCUCCUGCUCGUGUGGGAAUACCCGCUUUCAGAUCCGAAGGACCUCAAUCCAGUCAAUUACCAGCACCAAUGACGUCGCUACUUCAUACUUCAUCUGAGAGCCCACCAUCACUGCCAUAUUCCAAUAGAGGUCAACCCAACAAUUCAUACCAAAGUUCACUAGUUCAGACACCUGAAGGUCUGCAUAAUGCAUCAAUGCAGUCCAAUUCUAAUAUGGCCUGUUAUUUGACACAUGCUGAAAAAUCACCAAAUCACAGAUCUAACAGUUCUCCGGCUAGUUUUUCACCAGUUUCGGCAUCCAUGAGUACUCCAGUACACCCUCCUGAUGUUGCCAAUGGACGCCAACUCAGGUUUGUGGUACCAAAUCAAUCUACCAUCAGAUCUACUAUCACGAGUUCUCCGGCGAGAAAUUCACCAAUUAUCUCAUCUCCUUCUCAAGUGGCGAAUCAAACUUCGCCAUAUAAUGCACCCAUCAUCAACAGUCCUUCAACGAGACCAGAGCAAGAUUCUUCAACAAAUGAUACAGUUAAUAUUUCCCAUAUUGAGUCUUCACCGAGGAGUACUAAUAUUGAAAAUUCUCCACAUGUGACACCUUGCCGUGCAUCAAUGCCGAAUCUCAUCAAUAUAAAACCUCCUGUGUAUGCCCCAAUGCCAUUCAGUCCUACGAAUUACAUCCAAGAUAAACCUGAUAACUCAAAUGAUGUAAAUGAGGAAAGUGCCCAAAAUCAUUGUGAAAAGGAAUCUGAUACUGAGGCUCAAGUUAUUGACUUGACCUGGCUAGAUGAAGUUGAUGAGGAGCAAAUUCAAAAAGAACUUGAUUUUAUCGUUGUGAAAAAAGAAGAACUGGAGGAUGAAGAAGUUAUAGUCAAUCGAGAACAGUUUCCUGUGGCUUACAUCAGUGGACCAACUGGAUCAAUAUGGGACUCUUCAUAAUGGUUGUCUGAAACUACCACUUUAUCUUCAAAAGAAGGUUUCUUCUCCAGCAGAUAGUGGAAUUGCUAGUCCAAGUCUUCAGGAAGAGUGCAGUGAACUUGUUUAUGUAGAUAGACUGUGCAUUUGUGA
rnacentral:misc_RNA from 1 species